AGCUCUCCGAGUGGUGUGGAUGUUUAUUGGGCCUAAAGCAUCCGUAGCUGGCUAGGUCAGUCCUUUGUUAAAUCCACCGAAUUAAUCGUUGGAUUGCGGGGGAUACUGCUUGGCUAGGGGACGAGAGAGGCAGACGGUAUUUUCGGGGUAGGGGUGAAAUCCUAUAAUCCCGGGAAGACCACCAGUGGCGAAGGCUGGUCUGCUAGAACGCGCCCCGACGGUGAGGGAUGAAAGCUGGGGGAGCGAACC
rnacentral:rRNA from 1 species